UGGGGAAUAUUGCACAAUGGGCGAAAGCCUGAUGCAGCGACGCCGCGUGAGGGAUGACGGCCUUCGGGUUGUAAACCUCUUUCAGCAGGGAAGAAGCGAAAGUGACGGUACCUGCAGAAGAAGCGCCGGCUAACUACGUGCCAGCAGCCGCGGUAAUACGUAGAGCGCAAGCGUUGUCCGGAAUUAUUGGGCGUAAAGAGCUCGUAGGCGGUUAGUCGCGUCUGCUGUGAAAAGCUCGAGGCUCAACCUCGGGCUUGCAGUGGGUACGGGCUGACUAGAGUGCGGUAGGGGUGACUGGAAUUCCUGGUGUAGCGGUGGAAUGCGCAGAUAUCAGGAGGAACACCGAUGGCGAAGGCAGGUCACUGGGCCGCAACUGACGCUGAGGAGCGAAAGCAUGGGGAGCGAACAGGAUUAGGAUACCCUGGUAGUCCAUGCCGUAAACGUUGGGCACUAGGUGUGGGGUCCAUUCCACGGAUUCCGUGCCGCAGCAAACGCAUUAAGU
rnacentral:rRNA from 1 species